rnacentral:rRNA from 1 species
AACGAACGCUGGCGGCAGGCCUAACACAUGCAAGUCGAGCGAGGACUUCGGUCCUAGCGGCGGACGGGUGCGUAACGCGUGGGAACGUGCCCUUUGCUUCGGAAUAGCCCUGGGAAACUGGGAGUAAUACCGGAUGAGCCCUUUGGGGGAAAGAUUUAUCGGCGAAGGAUCGGCCCGCGUUGGAUUAGGUAGUUGGUGGGGUAAUGGCCUACCAAGCCGACGAUCCAUAGCUGGUUUGAGAGGAUGAUCAGCCACACUGGGACUGAGACACGGCCCAGACUCCUACGGGAGGCAGCAGUGGGGAAUCUUAGACAAUGGGGGAAACCCUGAUCUAGCCAUGCCGCGUGAGCGAUGAAGGCCUUAGGGUUGUAAAGCUCUUUCAGCUGGGAAGAUAAUGACGGUACCAGCAGAAGAAGCCCCGGCUAACUCCGUG